rnacentral:rRNA from 1 species
ACCGCGUGAGUGAAGAAGGCCUCUUGGGUUGUAAAGCUCUUUUGUAGGGGAAGAUAAUGACUGUACCCUAAGAAUAAGGUCCGGCUAACUUCGUGCCAGCAGCCGCGGUAAUACGAAGGGACCUAGCGUAGUUCGGAAUUACUGGGCGUAAAGCGCGCGUAGGCUGUUGAGUUAGUUAAUUGUGAAAUCCCAAAGCUUAACUUUGGAACUGCAAUUAAAACUGCUCGACUAGAGUUUGAUAGAGGAAAGCGGAAUACAUAGUGUAGAGGUGAAAUUCGUAGAUAUUAUGUAGAACACCAGUUGCGAAGGCGGCUUUCUGGGUCAACACUGACGCUGAGGCGCGAAAGUAUGGGUAGCAAAGAGGAUUAGAUACCCUCGUAGUCCAUACCAUAAACGAUGAUUGCUAGAUGUUGGAAAUUUAUUUUCAGUAUCGCAGCUAACGCAUUAAGCAAUCCGCCUGGGGAGUACGACCGCAAGGUUAAAACUCAAAUGAAUUGACGGGGACCCGAACAAGCGGUGGAGCAUGUGGUUUAAUUCGAAGAUACGCGCAGAAACUUUACAACCCUUGACAUGUCUGUCGCGAGUUUAGGG